rnacentral:lncRNA from 1 species
UGUGCUAAAGGGUGUCAGAGACAAUCUGAGAGGUAAAUGCUACGCUAUGGACUAACAGUAAGGGGAAAAGAAGAUGGUAAAUUUGCAGAGAAGAUCAAGUUUGAUCAGUUUCCUGGCCUGAAGGUAGGACAAUGACAAAGGCUCAUUUUAGGGGCUUCUGGUAUACAAAGGUGUAGGGGCACUACACAACAAGGAGGCAAUGUAGUGAGUGGCAGCAUGGGAGAACUGAGGCUGGAGAAGUUCUCAGCCCAUGCUGUUGCCCCUGUUUUGCCCCUUCCCUCCCUCUCUCCCACAGGAGCAGUUGACUGGCUGCCUCUUGCUGUGGUUCCUGUGAAAGGCGGCUUUAGUUUGGAUCUUCAGUGGGGUAAGGGGCUCUUGUUCAGAAUAGAGGCUUCCAAAUAUGCAUGAACGGAAGUAACACAAGCAAAAUGCAUCAUGGAUGGGUGUGGUGAGUAGUCAUUGAAAUGCAG